rnacentral:tRNA from 1 species
GCGUCCCUAGCUCAAAUGGCAGAGCACUGUCCUUCCAAGUCAGUGGUUGCGGGUUCGACUCCCGCGGGUCGCUCCA